rnacentral:rRNA from 1 species
AGUGAACGCUGGCGGUAGACCUAACACAUGCAAGUCGAACGGCAGCACAGUAAGAGCUUGCUCUUACGGGUGGCGAGUGGCGGACGGGUGAGGAAUACAUCGGAAUCUACUUUUUCGUGGGGGAUAACGUAGGGAAACUUACGCUAAUACCGCAUACGACCUACGGGUUAAAGCAGGGGAUCUUCAGACCUUGCGCGAUUCAAUGAGCCGAGGUCGGAUUAGCUAGUUGGCUGGGUAAAGGCCCACCAAGGCGACGCUCCGUAGCUGGUCUGAGAGGAUGAUCAGCCACACUGGAACUGAGACACGGUCCAGACUCCUACGGGAGGCAGCAGUGGGGAAUAUUGGACAAUGGGCGCAAGCCUGAUCCAGCAAUACCGCGUGAGUGAAGAAGGCCUUCGGGUUGUAAAGCCCUGUUGUUGGGAAAGAAAAGCAGCAGGUUAAUACCCCGCUGUUCUGACGGUACCCAAAGAAUAAGCACCGGCUAACUUCGUG